rnacentral:lncRNA from 1 species
CUCAUAGAAAAUCUGACACAGGCCUGAAAAUAGAAGUAUAGGCUGCGCUAUUUGUAUCUCUCAAAUCUUCUUUUUUUCUCCAUAUAUAUCUGUUCAUUCAUUCAUUCAUUCAUUCAUUUGCUGUUGAAGUGGCCAGAGGAUAAACCUAGAUAUUCACUUAUGCCAUCAUCCUGCUAUUAGAGCCCUGACUGGUCUUUUCCCAUAUUGCAGACACUUUCAAGCUCGCUGAGAUUUCUGUGGACCAUUUCCAUUUACUUGGCUAUGAGAUGGGUUGGGGACAAAAUUCUGGAUAUACCAUCCCCUUCUCUAUGGCAGAGGGAGGAAAUGGCUUCAUGCCUUGGCUGCUGAACUUCCACCAGAGAAAAUUGAAUGGUUUAGUAAAUUGAAAGUGGCAAGUGGAAACACAGCGCUCUCCGUUUUGCAGCAACGGUGUUUAGUGUGGCAGCUCCCAGUCUAAGAUCUUCCACAGAAUCUGUGAAAGGAAAAUACUACUAAUUUCAAAUCUCCAUAAAUAUCUUAACGGAUGACCGGCACAAGCGGGUGGACAAGCCAGAAGGUAGGGACCGCGCAGCUGAAACUGCGCUCAGUCAGCUGGAACCACCACGAAACCUACGCAAGCCACGCAAGCUACGCCACCUAUGGAGGUCGUUGGUAGGUGGGCCCUGCGCUGGCGCAUGUGCGUCGUGAACAGCCUGAACCACGCCUGCAGCCGCAGUGGGGAUGUCAAGGACGCCUGGCCUGCUAGUCACCACGGUCGUUCCCAGAGCCACUCUGGACCCGCUCGCCUGUGCCUGUGCCAGAUUCUGAGAGUGAGAAGAGCCAGGAGCCCAGGUGGUGGAUAA